CUUCUUUCACAUAAACGUAGGGGAAUCACAGUUUAGGAACAGAAAGGUAGGUUCAUUCUAAUUCUUGCAAAAAGUUUGAGUCAAGUUUGGAGGGAGAUGCUUUGCAAGAUACUAUGUUUCUCUUCUAUGUCGUGCCCAUAUCUGAACUCCAGAAAUCUGACUCGUCCCCAGCAAUUUUCUUUCCGUGCCAUUCGGUAGAUACUUUUCACUAAAGGCAGGAGACAUUGAAGCUGAAGCGCAAAAAACCUGCAGUUUAGCGGACAGCGUCAGGUUGAAGAGAAAAACCUCGCAAACCCAUUUCCCCAAUGGAUAGAUGUCAAGGCAUGAAGCCAGUUGGGAACCUUGGGUCACUCUCUCAGCCCAACCCACAUCCCAGGAUGGUUGUGGAAAAAUAGAAGGAGUGGAAGAAAACAUAAUACAUGAAUGAUGGUGACGUGAAUUAAGAGGAGAUCAUUAACAUCCUUGAAAAUACCUUUAUGCUUUUGUCUUUCAAUUUAACAAGCACUUGAAUUAUUUUUUUCUCCAGUGGAACUAGUAAAGUUUUCAAACAAACUGAAA